GCAGAAGUUCACCGGCGGGUUAGAGCGUGGCGCUGGUAACGCCAAGGUUGUGGGUUCAAGCCCCGCACGGGACAGCGGCG